rnacentral:rRNA from 1 species
UACGAAGGGGGCUAGCGUUGCUCGGAAUCACUGGGCGUAAAGGGUGCGUAGGCGGGUCUUUAAGUCAGGGGUGAAAUCCUGGAGCUCAACUCCAGAACUGCCUUUGAUACUGAAGAUCUUGAGUUCGGGAGAGGUGAGUGGAACUGCGAGUGUAGAGGUGAAAUUCGUAGAUAUUCGCAAGAACACCAGUGGCGAAGGCGGCUCACUGGCCCGAUACUGGACGCUGAGGCA